UACAGAGGUCCCAAGCGUUGUUCGGAUUCACUGGGCGUAAAGGGUGCGUAGGCGGUCGGGUAAGUCUGAUGUGAAAUCUCACAGCUUAACUGUGAAACUGCAUUGGAUACUAUUCGGCUUGAGAGUUGGAGGGGGGACUGGAAUUCUUGGUGUAGCAGUGAAAUGCGUAGAUAUCAAGAGGAACACCAGUGGCGAAGGCGAGUCCCUGGACAACUUCUGACGCUGAGGCACGAAAGCUAGGGGAGCAAACA
rnacentral:rRNA from 1 species